GUCUUAGUAGCUUAAAAUGGUAAAGCGUUGUCGUUGUAACACAAAGAAGGUCACCUCCCUAGGACU
rnacentral:tRNA from 1 species